rnacentral:tRNA from 1 species
GGGAAGGUGGCUCAGUGGUAGAGUGCUUGCCUUGCAUGCAUGAGGCCCUGGGUUCGAUUCCUCCGCACUA